rnacentral:tRNA from 1 species
AAAUAAGAAGUAAAAAUUUACAUUUAGUUUCGACCUAAAAUUAUGACAUUUAAAUAGUCCUUAUUUA